GAACCGGAGAGGCCCAGCGUUGGCCCUGUCCUGGGGCAGCCCAGACACAUCCUACAUUUCUCAGGAGGAAGAAGAGUUGGGCUCUUCCUGCUGCAGCAGUUAAUUCGCCCUUCACCCUCUGCACUCAAAACAAACACUGGCUUGAAGCAUUCAGCUUUUCUACCACUGCGUAGCCGAGAGUGGAAAAAAUAACAUCUGAAACAGGAUGGGCUCUCGAGAUGCCUCGGGUGACAGGCACUUUUCAAACCACUGCAGAAGUCCUGGAUCCUGGACAGGAUGCAGAGUGGUGUGGCAGGAAACGCUGUAGGCCUGGGCCUAGAACUUGAACCUCCAGAGUCUACCGUGGAGCUCACUGUGUGCCAGGAAACUACUAAAUUCACUAACAGCCAAUAUGAUGAGCUUGUUCACUCCAGCUUUUGUUGACCGAGGGAAACCUGAAAGAACCCUGGGAGGUGUCAAGAUCAUACAUGACACAGUCCCAGUCCCUGCAUUCCAAUGACUUGUCCCAAAUAGGAAGCAAAGCCGGCUGAGCUAGAUACAGAAAUUUGCACAAUCACCAGCUGUGAGGUGAGGUGGUGGACAGUAGUCCUCCACACCCUACCUGUGCUUCCCUGUGGGGGACCCACCUGCCCCAGAGAACCCAGGCACCUGCUUCUGCCUCCUGCAUCCUUGGCUGAGUCUGCUUCAGCCCAGUGUCCAGCUCUCUAUAGCCCUGGAGCAUGAAAUCUUGGAGACUCCUCUUUGCCACCUGUCUCUUACAACUUCCCAUGGAUUAGGAAGAAGGAGAAGGAGCCAUUGAAACACAGAUGAGUUCAAGACACAAGAGAGCAUGUUCUCUUCUAGGCAAGAAAUGUUUGGGAUUUGGCAGAGUCUGAAGUUCAUGUUGUUGGAUGUGACCAUACACCAGCUGCCUCUGCCCUUCCCUAAGGAAGCAAGCAUGCCCAGGGCUCUCCAGGAAAAGAAGGCAGUCUCCUGGACAGCAUGCGGCUUCUCCUGGCCCAUCCUAUCAGCACGCAGCUCAGCACCCACCAUAUUGGUACUCAGUUCAGUAGCACAGUCCAAACACUUUGCAACCCUCUUACCGUAGUUUCCCUAACAACAGAUUCCAUAUCCAUGCAGUAGAGUACCAUCAAUUAAGCAGGUUUUCUAGCAGAGUAUGCAAGAGAGUCUUCACCAUGCAGCAGGACAGUCUCCUGUCCUGGGCUUUCAGAAUCCUCUGCCUCUAGGGGCUGACCACUGGAUGCAGAGGUACAAGCAGCGUACCCUGCAGACCCUCCCUUUCCCCCUCACCAGUGGAGAGUCCUCAGCACUCUGGUUCUGCUGCUCUCUGCAUGCAGGUACUUGGCUGUACCUGGAGAACGCAAGCCAAAAAGACUCUUUCCCCAUCUCCUGUGAUUGCAGGCACCUCCUCACCCUCCAGCCAGCGUAGAACCAGCUGAGAAACACUACUAAGACUUCCCUUCAUGCCAACAAGGGGCUGCAGCUGGACGGGCAACUCCUGGGUAUGAUUCCAUUGUCAAAUGGGAUGCCAGGAUUCUAGCAAAAGUUGGUCAGGCCCAGAAGACCCUGCCAAGGCCUCUUACAAAGGAGUCUAUCUCUAGGCCCAAGGCCAUCUCUGGAGGUCUGAAAGAGAAUGAGAAAAGUAAGCUUCAGGUUCUCAGUUCACGGACCAUGUUGUGUGGUCUGAAAGCCUCUGGAUCAGGGAGAAGGCCCCAGGCCAAAAUUCCAGUGGAGGCUGCGGGCCCAGAUGGAUGGCUUUCAUUAUGGAGAAAAUGCAUAUGAAGUUUAGCGGGGCUUGCUCUUGUUUUAAGAAUAUUAACAAGGCUUCGUACAGUUGUCCUGACCCUUUAGGAGAAUAACUUAGUUAGCACAGCUCUUGGCACUCAGAAAGGAACUCAGUCAAUUUUACUCCCUGUGCAGCAAUGGGGCCAGAGCUGCCACCUGGGGCCUGAUUCCUGAGGGCUGGUGCAUUUUGCAAAGAAUUCUUCCCCUCCUGCCACUAGGCCUCCUGAGAGUGCUGGCAGUGCCCCCUCCACUUGUAACUAAGUCAAUCUCUCCCUUAUCACCUAUAGUCAACAGGAGAAACCAACUGGGGUGGCUGAGGCAAAGCUGAGUGCUCUUCUCUGGUGUGCUUCUGUGCAGUGCAGGCCAAGCCAAGCACACCGUGGGUGUCACUGUGUGUGUCUCCCUGUGCUGUGCAGGGCUGCACAAACCUCCUCCCAUCAGGCAACACCACAGGCCCAGCACCCCGCCCUGCUGCAGUGCCUCCCUCCAGGGGCUCAGAGGCUUCGUCUUCUUUUACGGGGGGUAUUGCAGGGAGAGGGGCAGAGGGAUGAGAGGCCUGCCUUAAGACCACACAGCAAGUGUGAGCUGGGCUGCGUGGGGCUCAGGUGGCUGACCCCGCUCCCCGCCUCCACUACACAGGCUUCAAACAAGUGCUGGGGGCAGAGCCUGUCCCCCAGGUCACAGUGGUGAUCACACUUGAUAGCAAGACAAAUGCAGACAAAAGUCAAAAGCCAUCCAAAGAAAGGCAUGUGCAGACCUGGCCCACCCCUUGAGAGCAGAGCACAGGACAAGGGCCAUAGGGAGGGCCGUGACAGCUCUGAGGUACACGCGCUGCUGCCACUGCAGAGCCCCAGAGAGACCCAUCCUGUCCCGUGCCCCUUCCUUGGUAUUCAUGGAGGGAAGCAACAGUAAUGGUGGAAAAAAGCCAAUAGGGAAGUUCCCCUCCUACUGACCUUGCUAAAGACGGCCACACCCACUAACCGUUAAGGACUGAUUCAACAGCGUUACAGGAUGAAAAGCAACAGUUUAGUACUUUUAACUACAUUUCAGUUGUAUUAACAGGGUUUUAAAAAAAGAAAAUGCAUUUCUAUUUACACACUUGCCGUUGAAGUAAUGAGUAGACAAGGCCUUUGCUCCCAACACUUUGCUUUUCAACUUGCCCAUGAUCUUGUCUUCCUGUUGGAGGUAUUACAGCCAGAUGUGUCCCUUCACCUUGGCUCCUGGCUGAUCAAAGCAUGCUGUUAGUUUCAUUUUUACUUUGAAAAGUGUCUUUUACACAGUCAUAGAUAAAGAGUCAUGAACAUCUUAAGAGAAUACACAUGGCAAAGGUUCAUAAAAAUCUGAUUUCACAAUAAAUUCUAGAAAAUGCGACACUGCUCAUAUCUUUGUCUUUUCAGAUUGAGCCUGUUGUCUUUCAAAUGUCUCCAUUGCAGAAAAAAAUCAUAAACACAAAAACACUCCACAUGGUCACAGAUUGGCAGAUCUGAAGGAGCCUGGUUUUCAUAUAAAGACACAGAGAGGAAUAACACGACAAAACAUACGAAAAUAAACCAAACUCAGAGCUUCAAGAAAGAGGUGAGCAGGAGAAGCUAAGCUGGGCACGGAAACGCACCUCUGUCUCCACACACUAAUGUAGUUGCUGUAGUUGAGCAGGAAAUUCACGUUUCCUGGAUGCCUAAGGGAUAAAAAAGCUGUGGCCUUCUUGGCAUUCGGAAUGGCAGGAGGGCAGCACCUUGGAGAGCCUGGAGAAUGACCCUCCAGAGCCCAGGCACAGACUUCUCCUUGGAGGCACCAAGUCCACAGAGGGAGGUCAAGAACCUGAUUCAAGCACUCUGAUUCUGUUGUUCAUCACAUACGGUUUCAGACCAGGAAACUAUGAACCUGGAAAGAGUCCCGUUAGCUAGGAAGCAAUCAGCAGAAAGUAAGUGCCAUGAAAGAUUAAUUUUAUUAAGAAAUUGGGCAAUUCUUGCUUAGCACUGUUAUGGUUUAGAUGUGAGGUAUCCCCCAAAAGCUCAUGUGUGAGUGCAAAAAACUUAGAGGUGAGAGGAUUGUGUUAUGAGACGCUUAACCUAAUCAGUGCAUUAAUCUCCUCAUAGGGAUUAACUGGGUGGUGACUGCAGGCUGGUAGGUAUGGCUGGAGGAGGUGGUCAUUCGGAUAUGCCUGUGGAGCUUAUGUUCUGACCAUGAUGAGGGGCACUCUCUCUGCCCCUGCCCCCUGCUUUCCGGGUGUCAUGUCCCCAUCUGCUUUUCUCCGCCACACUCUUCUGCCAUGAUUUUGUGCCCCAUCCCAGACCCUGAGCAAUGGAGUUGGCCAUCU